rnacentral:tRNA from 1 species
UCCCUGGUGGUCCAGUGGUUAAAAACCUGCUUUCCAAUGCAGGGGACACAGGUUCAAUUCCUGGUCAGGGAA